GCCGUAGCACAGCGUGGUACUAGGGACACCUGCUUGGCAUGCAGAAGGUCCCCGGUUCAAUCCCCGCUGGCAGCC